rnacentral:lncRNA from 1 species
CCUCCCACCACAUUCUUAGAGCAGAACCAGCCACUUGGCUCCAACUAGAAGUGAUCAGUUCCAUGGAGCCCAAUUCCAGGGCUUGCCGAGGGAGGCUAGAUUCUAUUCUGCUAGACCUGGGUGGGGCCUUGGAGGUCUUCUGGUCCCUCCUAUGUGAUAUGAGGAAGUGAAACCAGAGACACUGGCCCUGAACUUCUCAAUACCACAGAGAGAGUCAGUGCCAGGUCCAGGAAUGAACUGUCUGGAUUCAUUUUGAAUAAAUUCUCUUUUCCCCAUUCUUUCUGUUAUACACCAGGGUGGAAAAAGGAGCCAACUUUUCUGGAGACUCAGGACCCAUUUGGCAGAGAAGCACAUAGAAAAGCCAGAGAAUGCAGCCUGGAGAGAUGGAAGAUGCCAGUCAGGUCUCACUAGUGUCUAGGAAUGGAAGGUUUUCUCAGCAUCCAAUACCGACUGGAAGAAGCUCCUGCCAGCCAUGUAAGAAGGACAAUGUCAGGCUCUAAUCAGGGAGAGCCUUGGAGAGCUGAGGAGAUUCCCCAAUUUCUUCCUGCUCAUCAUUUUCAGUCCCUGACGUCCAUUUCCACAGAGGAAUUAGCAGUAAGUUCUCUAAAAGGGGAGCUGAUUGCUGAUUUGCUUGUUUUAAGGGAUGAGGUAGAAGAGAGGAGUUGGGGAGACUUUGCUUUUCCCAAGAGCUGGUCACAGGAGAAGAAAGUGCUCUUUGUUGGUUGUAGCAGCUCUGGACUGGAAAGAAAAGCAGGUCAAACACCUGGGCCUGUGUACUGGGCACUGUGCCAUCCUCCUGGGAGGAUAGGUGUGGUGGGGGGGGGGGCGGGCACAGGCAGGUGGCAUAGACACUGAACAAGUAGGAGUCCCGUUUAAAAUGACAUGUGUCAUCAGUGUAGCACCUGCCUUCUAGCACUGAUGGAGGGAGCUACGGUUCGGCUGCUGUGCAGCAGUGCACUGGGUAGAUAAAGUGUGACCAGGGAAGCUGGAAGAAGACUCGAGGAGCUGUGGGGACUGCAGACAUGUUUAUUCUCUCUGGGCAGCAGCAGCAAGGAAUCUUCAAAGACUACUGAUACACUAAGACAGACAAAAGUGGCCCAUUGCCAAGUGGGCAUGCAGGCCAAGUGCUACCAAGGUCAGCAAUAUCACUGUUUACAAAACAUAAGAGAUCAAGCCCUGAGCCUUUGGAGUGGGAGCACUGACUCAAAGACCCUAGACGACCAGAGAACUAACCCUAGGAAGUAUCAAAUAGUGAGAACUCACACAAAGUAAACCACCUGAAUACAACAAUCAGCAUCACCCAACUACCAGUAGCACCCUGUGUAGGAUGCCUCAUCUAAACAACAAACAAAACAAAAAUACAAUCCAAAUCAUCAGCAGACAGGAUUACCACCUCACUCAGCCUUGCCCAUCUGAAGAAAAACAAACAAACAAAAACUCAGCACAAAUCUCACCCUAUAUGAAGCUUACACAAACCACUGGACCAAUCUUAGGAGGGGAGAAACCAAAAGGAAGAAAUAAUUCAACCUUGAAGCCUGGGAAAAGGAGACCUCAAACACAAUAAGUUAAAAAAAAAAUAAUGAAAAGGCAGAGAAAUACUACACCAAUAAAGGAACAAACUAGAAACA